rnacentral:lncRNA from 1 species
AGGUAGGCUUUGCAUGUAACAUACCAGAUUUUGGUAUAAAAAUAAGAAAUAAAAAAAAAUAGUGUGAGAUACAAUUUUUAUUGAAUUUAGAGAAGUAAAAUAUAAGUCAGAAAUGACUUGUGCGGAAAUCGGAACGAAAACAGAAGAUUUAGAAUUUUCUGUUGGAAACGGGACUGAUAAAUUAGCAGAAAAUGUACAGUGUCAGAAAAUUAUGAAAACAGGAGGAUAAGUCAGAAUCAUUUUUAUGAGGCUAGAUUUAAAGUUUCAUAUCAUUCUGACAUCCGGAAAGUGGAAAAUAAAAUUCGACAGUUAUCUGAUAAAGAUUACAUUUCGGUACAGCUUUCGGUGACCAAACGGGGUCGAAACUGAAAUAUUAAAAUUUCUUUGAACUGGUUAAGUAAAACCGAAUAUGACUGUCAAAUUUGAGCUCAAACAGAUAUUCAGGGAGCUCCGGCGAAAGAUAUCAGAUUUCGAGCUACCUGAAGUGAAUAGUGUUGGAGGGUGUAUUUAUUAAAAGAAGCAUUGCUCCUUCUUCUUCCUCAGCCGACCACACCACCCCACAACACACGCACGUAUGGGAAGGGAGAGAGAAGCUCUCCUUUCUCUCUCUAAAGAUCUCUCUCAUCUCUCCAAAUCUCUCUCUAAAAAUUUGAGGGUCGGUGGAGAGCGAGCUUGCGAACGCGUUGGAGGCGUCGGUUCGAGCUCUCGUGUGGCCGUUGGAGCGGCGUGCUUUCGUCGCGGCGUUCACAUUGUGGUAAGCUAUUGGCUUAAUUCUUAGCUUUAAGUGUUCUCAUAGCCUCUAAUGAGCAUUAUUAGUAUGUUGCACCAUUCAAUUUGGAUUAUUUGGAGGUUAAUUGCAUAUUAGGGCUCCGAAUGGGGUUUUGUAAAAUAGUAGGGUUUGAUCUCAUUUGACCCUUCGUAAACCUAAUUGCUAGGUAAACGAACGCGUUGGCGAAAUCGGUUUGGCGAUUCGUUGAGCCGUUGUAAAGAUAUUAAAGAAACGGACGUUUAGGCUUCGUUUCCGCCUGGAGGGCCGAGGCGACAUCGUAAAGUCAUGAAAACGGAUUUGGAGUACCGUGGCAUAUAACCGAAGACCUAUAAUUUUUGGUGCUGCGAUUCGACGCACAGUUGGUGAGUAUUAGCAAAAUCGGGCCGAACCGGGUUACGGGUGCCGCGGGAGGCCGAUUGCAAGUGUCGACAAGCAAUCGGAGAGCGUUACGAGGUGGGUUGUGUUUACCGAAGCGACUAGGUCGCCUGUAUGUCUAAGAUAAAUGUUCAUCAUUGAUGCAUGUAGUGGUAGCUAUUGAUACAACAUAAGUAUGCAUGAGAUGAAGGCUAAAUGAGCUACCAAACAAUGCAUGAUGACUUAGUGUAAAUAGUGCUAGAUAAAUGCAUUGAUUAAUGCUAAAGUAUACAUGAUAAGCGUGCAUGUGGAUAAUGCUAAGUAAUAGCAUGAUAAGCAUGAUAUAGAAAUAAUAAAUGCAAGCAUGUGGUUAAUGCUAAGAAUAUAGAUGAUGACAUGAUAAAAAUGCUAAGUCCAUGUAUGAUAAGCAUGUUUUAGGGAUGCUAAAGUAAGAAUGCUAAGUAAAGGACAUAUCAUGUGAUACUAGUGGUAUAUGUGCAUGAUGACAUAUUGCAUGUGAUAGAUGAACUAUGUAUGUUGACAUAUAGAGGAUUAUAAUAGUUGACAUUUACAUGUUAAACUUGGGGUCGAUAACUCUAGGUUGAUUAGAGAACUCGACAUUGGAAAACUAGUGUAAUGCUCGAUGUGGACAAUCUAUAUACAUUAGAUCGAGUGGCAUUAAACCUAGUGUCUUGAACAUAGGUUGAACAAGUAUAGAGUGAACCUAGUGUCAUGAACCUAGCAAACACUUAUGGUAUUUGAGUAUAUAUAUUUUGUAUCAUUCAUGCAUGAUAGAGCUAAGUAAAUGUGAACCUUGGUUGCUUUCAAUGACAGGUUUAACAUAGUUGAACAUAGAGAAUGGUAGAACCAUAAUGGACAUGUAUGUUAGGACCCUAUAAUUGUGUGAAUGUGAGAGUUGGACUUGGACAUAGUAAACAAAGUUGACAUUGACAAUAGAGACAUUGUUUGGCAUAGAGAACAUAGUUGUUAAACAUAGUUUAACCAAGAGUGGCAUUGAGACAAGAAUGGCCUAGAGAGCGGCAUGAAUAAAUAGGUAGAAAACCUAUCAUGACAAUGGCAUUGUGACAAGUGGCUAUGAAUCCUCAAGUUGAGGAUUGGAUCUAUACUCACGAUAAGUCUUGGCUUGAGGGAGGUAGCCCCCCUCAAGCGGUGCGCUCCGGAGUAGGUCACCAUGGGGAUAGUGGCCCCGAAGGACGGUCCCUCGAGUGGAAGUACUCGAAGCCUCCUCGAUCAAAAGGAAUUUUGGGUUGUGAGUCAUUGGGGUUAACAAAGUUAACCGGUAAGAUUGGGUCAAAGCCAAGUAAGAGUUACUUUUCAAAGAAUAAACGCACUACAAUAUGAUUGACUCGAGACCGAGUCGAGUGGUUAGCUUGGCUAGGGCAGAGAGGAAAACCUUAGGAGCAAAUAACCAAUGAUGUAAUGUGACAAGAUGUAUAAAUUAUGAAAAAACUAUGGAUAGCAUGAUAGAAAGUAAAAUCAUUUAUUUUACUUGUAUAGUUGCAUGGUUUCAUUUUGCAUAUCGCGAGGCAUGACAUGUAGUUCAAUAUCGAAUAAAUGUUUAAGUAUUUUUUAUAUGUUAUUGGACUAAGCUGUUGCAGUGCCUCAUUAGACCUAUUGGUUGAGCUUUUCCCUUGGGUGACCGUAUCCACUGGGAACCAUGGAGUUGGUUCUCACUCCACGUUGUUUUGGGGUGUUUCAGGUUCACACGUGAGCGCGCGGCGGCGCGAGGCGAGGGCGUAGCUCCAUAGUUAGCGCCCCCCACCGAGACUAGAGAUAGCGGUACCCUGAGUCGGCCUUACUUAGGGAUGUAAGAAAAUUAAAAGAAUCAAGUGUAAUAAUAUUGUUAAAGCUAGAUUGUAUUUGAAAGCUAAAAAGAAUGAAAGAUGUAAUAUGUAAAUAUAUGUGAGUUGAAUGAAUGUAAUAACUUAGUUGUAUUUAUGUUUAUGAUACUCCUUAUGCAAUCUUUGAUUGAAUACUGUUCCUGGUUGGAACCUCGUGUAUUGCUUUGUAUUGAUUGCGACGCCUUGAAUGUACAGGGGAGACUCUGUCCGCGGUACAGGGAAAACUCUGUCCAUUCGGCGGUCUGUUGGCGUGCCCGAAACCGACCAAAUAGGCGGGCUCGGGGUGUGACAGAUAAGAUGGUAUCAGAGCAUAAAAGAAACAUAAAAAGAAUAAUAGAAAAUGAUUUAGUUGGACCUCGGAGACCCUACGAUCGUAAACCUUAGGAGAUUAAGGCUCGUGAGAGACGAGGACUUGUGACUUUUGGCGAAAGAUAAAUUGAUUGGGUUAUGUUGUAAACCUCUAAAACGGAUGUUAGAGGUAGACUCAAGGUGAGGUUUAUUCUCAACAGAGGGUGUUCAUGUUGGGUGCACACAAUAUGAAACCGAGUGAUGAGAAUAGACGCCCUUGCGUGACUUUCGCCCGAUUCGAGUCGGUAUUAAGUGUCUCGUGCUCGACCUAGAAGGUCGAGGAUUAAUAAAGUUGUCGCGUUUUAGGAAGCGAUAGCACUGCGUAGGCGAUCUUCGUUAGAUCGGCGCGGGAUGGGCCAAGUGGUGUCCCUGGGCAAUUUGAGGCGAGCGGAGACUUGGAACUUCGUGAGUUUUGGCAGCUCUUAUGACCUUUGAGAAAUUAACGGAAUUCUCGUCGUGUUAGAUCACUUUUGGUCAAAUUGACUAAAGUGCGUCGAGAGAACUAGUUGGACAAAGUCCAAUUGACAUUCCAACGAUGUUGGAAGGGUUAGAAUUGAGUUCUAAAAGAGUUAGAAAGGUUUUAGCGUUGCUCGGCGCGAAUCGAAGUCGAAGCGGUGCAAAACGGAAAUUCUGGAACAUGUGUUACCGGUUUAACACCAGGGGUGUACCGGUACAGUAUGGUUGUAACGAAGUGAAUUCUCGAAAGCCGAGAGUUGGACUUCGUCUAGGAUCGACUAGUUGUCGAGUGGGUAUGUAACAUACCGAAACCUCGGUAAUUAAAUUCGAACCUUGGUCAAGUUAACCAAAGUGCGAGGUUGCUACACUUCGAAAAGGCCGAAGGCGUCAAAUAAUGCAAAAUUGCAUUACUGGGGAUCUUCGAGAGCUUUGGAAAUCAAAAUCUGCAAAACUGCAGGUUUUGUCCUCUCGAGGACCGGUCCCUGGUGGGAGAGACCGGUCCCCGAACGCGCAAAUAGCGAGAAGGCUGAGAAAUCGACUAAGUCCUGAAAAACCAGCUCUCGGGAACCGGUCCCUGCGAGGAGAGACCGGUCCCCAGAGACCGGUUGCAUUGAGGGAGACCGGUUGCCUCAUGCAUAGCCUGCGCGGCCCCCGGGAGAAGCUCUCGGAGACCGGUCCCUCGUCGGGGAGACCGGUCCCCGAGCCCGAAAAUGGCCCAGUUAGGGCAGUGUAAAAGAGUAAAAGUUGAGAGGCUUGUUUGCACUUAUGCAACAUGUGGGGCUAUGUGAGGAGUAUGAGAGCUCUUUUCUCUCAUUUCUCACCUACACACCCUCUCAUAUCUCUCUUUCUCUCUCUAGAAGACAAGAAGAGGAAGAAGAAAGGAAAGGAAAGAAAAAGAAGAAGAAGGUCUUCCUCAUCUUCUUCAUCUUCUCCUUGGUUGGAGCUUCUUGGAGAGGUAAGCUUCUAAGCUCUCUCUUGUGGUGGAUUUCUAGAGAUAGGUUUGAUUGCUCUAGAAAUGAAGUUUUGUAUUAUGUCAGGGCGUAGUACCUGCCAGUACAGGUAUAGAGCCAGAUGGCACUAGCGAAAUGCUAGAAGUAAUCUAUGGCGAGAAGUGAGACUCGCGGUAGAGAUAGAAGUGGCGAAACGACUCUCAGAGCAAUAUGAGUAGUAAAUUGCGAGAGUUGAGCCAUGAUGCUUAUGAGAAUACCCGAGUGGUCCAAAAAUUUCGGAUGUCAUUCCGGUAGAUCGAACAGUGAAAGUAGCAUCACUGUUGAGAGAACGGUCGAUUAGUGGCCAAGUUUGAGCACAUGGGCCUAAUAGUACCUCAAGGUGAGGUAGGCGGUUGUGCUCGUGCGGCCGGUGUGAAUAGGCAAGAUUGCCUAAUGCUGGACUUCGUGUGGAACGCUGUAGAGGCGUAGAGCGCUCGAGUGUAGAUACCCGUAGAGUGCGGAUGUGGAUUCAGCCGAGAGAGUGUAUUGGCAGUAGCACUUGAGCAUUGCUAGGUGUGAAGUGUGCCAUGGAUCACUCGUGGGACUGGUGACUCGCAUUAGGUGCAUAGUAGCCGGUAGUGAUACGUGUACUCGAUAGAGCAUGUCGUGCGAUUGAUAGUAUACCGAGAGUACGAUUGUGACCCAACCCGGGAAUCUGUAACGGUUUGGGAUCUUAGUUGCUCUUGGUUUGAGUGUGUGCGAAUUCCCAAGUGAGAAUUUCGCCCGAUGAUGAUUGGGUCUGCAUUUGCUAGCGAGAGACACUGCGUAUUGAGACAGGUUAGGCGAUAGGCCUUUGUGGCACUGGCGGUCUGUGGGUUGCCUAUGGAAUUGAGGAAAGCGAUUUGGCGGAUAGCCUUAUCGAGGAAUUUGACUCGAAUUCAUGAACGGAGUGUUCGUGUGAGCUCGUUGCGAAAAUAGUUUGAUGUUGAUCGUGGCAUGUGGUAUCAGAUGAUGAAGUACUCUUGUGAGACAUCAAACUAGUGGAAAGCCACGUGAUGUUGGAUACUAUGCUCGUAAACGAACUAAGACUUGAGGCGUGCCGAAGUGGGCCAUCUCGCGUUAAAGUUAAGGGUCAGUGCGAAAUUAGAGCACUCACUACGGAGCGAUGCACCGGUGAUAUUGCUUCUAAGCAAUGUCGGUGAUCGAAUCAGAAUGUAUUCCCUAAAGGGAAGGUAGGUGCAAAGAAGAGUUCUUUGUGUACCGAAUGGAGGUUGGUGUUUGAGCGUGUAGAGUCGUUGAGUACUGACUUGCGCUGCCCCUAUGACUUGCAAGACUCGUAAUGCACUUUUGUAUCACACUUUGCAAAUGAGUUUGGGAUUAAACCCACGUCCUUCAGUAUGAGCCGCUUCUGGAACCACGAUAGUGUGAAGCCACUUUGGAGUGGGAGAAUGAGUUGGUACCCUCAAUUGCUCGCGGAGCUGAAUUGAGGCGUGGUUUGAAUUUCGCGGACGAAAUUCUUUUUAAGGGGUGGAGAAUGUAACAUACCAGAUUUUUGUAUAAAAAUAAGAAAUAAAUAGAAAUAGGGUGUGAGAUACUAUUUUUAUUGGAUUUAGAGAAAUAAAAUAUAAGUCAAAAAUGACUUAUGCUAAAAUCGGAACGAAAACAGAAGAUUUAGAAUUUUCUGUUAGAAACGGGACAGAUAAAUUAGCAGAAAAUGCACAGUGUCAGAAAAUUAUAAAAACUGGAGGAUAAGUCAGAAUUAUUUUUAUGAGGCUAGAUUUAAAGUUUCAUAUCAUUCUAACACCCGGAAGAUGGAAAAUAAAAUCCGACAGUUAUCUGAUAAAGAUUACAGUUCGGUACAGCUUUCGGUGACCAAACAGGGUUGAAACUGAAAUAUUAAAAUUUCUUUGGACUCGAUAAGUAAAACUGAACAAGACUGUCAAAUUUGAGCACAAACGGAUAUUCAGGGAACUCCGGCAAAAGAUAUCAGAUUUCGAGCUACCUGAAGUGAAUAGUGUUGGAGGGUGUAUUUAUUAAAAGAAGCA